rnacentral:rRNA from 1 species
UACGGGGGGGGCAAGCGUUGUUCGGAAUUACUGGGCGUAAAGGGCUCGUAGGCGGCCAACUAAGUCAGACGUGAAAUCCCUCGGCUUAACCGGGGAACUGCGUCUGAUACUGGAUGGCUUGAGUUUGGGAGAGGGAUGCGGAAUUCCAGGUGUAGCGGUGAAAUGCGUAGAUAUCUGGAGGAACACCGGUUGCGAAGGCGGCAUCCUGGACCAACACUGACGCUGAGUGAGCGAAAGCCAGGGGAGCAAACGGG